rnacentral:rRNA from 1 species
AACGAACGCUGGCGGCAUGCCUAACACAUGCAAGUCGAACGGGACCUCCGGGUUUACUGGCGCACGGGUGCGUAACGCGUGGGAACCUGCCCUUAGGACCGGACUAACACCCCGGAAGAGGUGCUAAUAACGGGUAAUAACUCCGGACCAAAGAGUUAUCGCAUUUGGAUGGGCCCGCGUUGGUUUGGUUAGUUGGUAGGGUAAAAGCCUACCAAGGCGUCGAUCCAUAGUUGGUCUGUGAGGAGGCACAGCGACACUGGGAUUGAGACACGGCCCCGACUCCUGCGGGAGGCAGCGGUGGUGAAUAUUGGAGAAUGGGCCUGAUGCUGAUCCGGCACUGCGGCGUGGGUGAUGUAGGGCUUAGGGUCGUAAAGCGCUAUUACCCGGGAUGUUUAUGACAGUACCGGGAUAAUAAGCUCCGGCUAACUCCGUG